rnacentral:rRNA from 1 species
AACAAACGCUGGCGGCGUGCCUAACACAUGCAAGUCGUACGAGAAAGGGUCCUUCGGGGCCUGAGUAAAGUGGCGCACGGGUGAGUAACGCGUGGAUAAUCUGCCCUUCAGUUGGGAAUAACUCAUCGAAAGGUGGGCUAAUACCGAAUAAUGCUGUGAGACCUCGGUUGAUCAGCCAAAGAGAGCCUCUGCUUGCAAGCCCUCGCUGAAGGAUGAGUCCGCGUACCAUUAGCUAGUUGGUAGGGUAAUGGCCUACCAAGGCGACGAUGGUUGGCUGGUCUGAGAGGAUGAUCAGCCACACCGGAACUGAGACACGGUCCAGGCUCCUACGGGAGGCAGCAGUGAGGAAUCUUGCGCAAUGGGGGCAACCCUGACGCAGCAACGCCGCGUGAGUGAGGAAGGUCUUCGGAUCGUAAAGCUCUGUCGGAUGGAAAGAACCGCAUAGGGGUAAACAGCCCCUGUGUCUGACGGUACCAUCAAAGGAAGCACCGGCUAACUCCGUGCCAGCAGCCGCAGUAACAC